rnacentral:lncRNA from 1 species
GGCGCCCCGGUCGCCCAGACAUGGCGGACGGCAGCGGCUGGCAGCAUUCCCUCUGUGAGAGCGAACGGGCACGAGUCCAGGCUGCACGGAAGCACAUCCUGGUGUGGGCCCCGAGGCAGAGCCCCCCUCCAGACUGGCAUCUCCCUCUGCCGCAGGAGAAGGACGAGUGACAAGCACCCCUGCCAUUGGCCUGUGCAGCUUCCUUGGUCUGUUUCAAGUUGCUGUUGCAAAACCCUGGGGACUGUGACAGCCUACACAGUCUAGUGGGUCCCUGUGAGCUCUUGCUGGGUUUGGAACGUGGAGCAGGACAUUGCUGGUCCUACUUGCCCACCCCUCACCAGCCUGCAGGGUACCCUGACGCUGCGAUGUUCUGCAGGACAAUUGCACCGCUUCAGAGCUUCCAGGAGGCUAAGCAUUAUGGCCAGGUACCUGUGAGCAGCCAGGUCAGGCUGGGCACAGUAGCAUAGGAGAUGGCGGUCCUGAGGUCUAGGCUUCUCAGGUAAACUGAAGGGUAGCCCUGACCUGUAUGGACACACAGGUGGGUCAUAAUGAGGUAGCUAAACAGUUGCGCCACUGUGAAUGUCUUUCCUAGUCCUUGGGAAACUGCCUGCUAUGUCUCAGGUUUGGUGAACAUUGUGAGUACUCACACUCUGCUCCACUCAGUUCCACUGCACAUGCAGGCAGGUGUGCCGAGCAGGCAGGGCUUGCUGGCCCCUCUGCACCAGCAGGCUUCACUUGUUAGGCUCCCAGGUCAGCCCCUGGAGACUCUAGUUUUUAAGAAAUGCACACAGCUACAGAACACACAACGUUGCAUAAAGAGGGUUUGUGGACUCACCUUAAGAAAUCCAAGUCCAAGACAUGUGGAAUUAAGGACUCCUUCCCUCAAAAAAAUUUCCCCUGGUGGUUAAUGUAUCAAAAGCCAUUUCAUCUGAUUUCAAAUAGAAGCUGAAAAUUAAGUUUACAUUUGUUAGAUUUUAUAUAUAACAGUGUUGUCUGGACAGUGUUAGAAACUUGUAUGCUUAUUCUCUUGUAGGUGUUUUAAAAUGUAUGAACCACCAAAAA